rnacentral:rRNA from 1 species
AGUGAACGCUGGCGGUAGGCCUAACACAUGCAAGUCGAACGGCAGCACAGUAAGAGCUUGCUCUUACGGGUGGCGAGUGGCGGACGGGUGAGGAAUACAUCGGAAUCUACUUUUUCGUGGGGGAUAACGUAGGGAAACUUACGCUAAUACCGCAUACGACCUACGGGUGAAAGCAGGGGAUCUUCGGACCUUGCGCGAUUGAAUGAGCCGAUGUCGGAUUAGCUAGUUGGCGGGGUAAAGGCCCACCAAGGCGACGGUCCGUAGCUGGUCUGAGAGGAUGAUCAGCCACACUGGAACUGAGACACGGUCCAGACUCCUACGGGAGGCAGCAGUGGGGAAUAUUGGACAAUGGGCGCAAGCCUGAUCCAGCCAUACCGCGUGGGUGAAGAAGGCCUUCGGGUUGUAAAGCCCUUUUGUUGGGAAAGAAAAGCAGCAGGUUAAUACCCCGCUGUUCUGACGGUACCCAAAGAAUAAGCACCGUCUAACUUCGUG